GGCGAUGCCGCGAGGCGGAGCAAAUCUCCAAAAGCCGUCCCAGUUCGGAUUGCAGGCUGCAACCCGCCUGCAUGAAGUUGGAAUCGCUAGUAAUCGCGGAUCAGCAUGCCGCGGUGAAUACGUUCCCGGGCCUUGUACACACCGCCCGUCACACCAUGAGAGUCGGGAACACCCGAAGUCCGUAGCCUAACCGCAAGGGGGGCGCGGCCGAAGGUGGGUUCGAUAAUUGGGGUGAAGUCGUAACAAGGUAUC
rnacentral:rRNA from 1 species